AGUGUGCCUGCUAAAACGAUUCAGGAUUUCAUAAAACCAAUUGUCCGUGUGUCCAUUACAAGGGAGGAUAUACAAAAUGCAUGUGCUUUGCUGUGCACAGUUGAUGGAAGACCAUUUUCUUUAAUGAACGACAUCGGAUUUAGGCGGAUUCUGAAUCCGUUAAUUGAAGGAUUAGGAUGUGAAAACUUUAUUAAUCCUCAAAACGUCCGUGAUGAUGUUGUAGCCAAAUCAGAGAAGGUCGUCGAAAAAAUAAAAGAAGAAACUAAAGGAAAAAUGAUCGCACUUAAAAUCGACGGCUUGACUCAUCUGAAUCGAUCGUUUAUUGGAGUAAACAUACAAUUUAUUUCUGAUGGACAUCUUGUCCUGCGCACAUUGGCAACUGAAGAAAUGUUUGCCUGCCAUACUGCUGCAAAUUUAAAAGACACCAUCCUUUUUGUUUUAAAUCGAUUCGAGAUCAGCUCCCAGCAAAUUUAUUCUUGCACCACUGAUAAUGGACGGAAUAUGGUCAAGUUUGUGGAACUUCUAAGUAACGAAAACAUUCCGGAGGAGUUGUACGACGACUCUUCAUACGAGAAUGAAACCGACGUCGACAACGACUUGUCUUUUAUGAAUGACGUUGUUUUUGAAAAUAAGUGCAUAAGUGUUCGUUGUGCAGCACAUACUCUUCAGUUGGCGGUCAAUGCAGUACUUAAAGACAAAAAUUGUUCGAAAACAAUUGGUUUUGCCAGGAACUUGGUCAAAAAAUUGCGAACACCAACCAUGUCUUACAUUA